rnacentral:rRNA from 1 species
GACGAACGCUGGCGGCGUGCUUAACACAUGCAAGUCGAACGAAGUGGCGCACGGGUGAGUAACGCGUAAUCAACCUGCCCUUCAUAGGGGGACAAUAGUUGGAAACGACUGCUAAUACCGCAUACUGAAGGAGGGGAUUGCGUCUGAUUGGCUAGUUGGAGGGGUAACGGCCCACCAAGGCGAUGAUCAGUAGCCGGGCUGAGAGGGUGAACGGCCACAGUGGGACUGAGACACAGCCCAGACCCCUACGGGAGGCAGCAGUGGGGAAUCGUGCGCGAUGGACGAAAGUGUGACGGAGCAACGCCGCGUGAGUGAUGACGAGCUUCGAGGUGUAAAGCUCUGUUAAUCGGGACGCGGUACCGGAAUAGAAAGCCACGGCUAACUACGUGCCAGCAGCCGCGGUAAUAC